GAUGAACGCUGGCGGCGUGCUUAACACAUGCAAGUCGAACGGGAAACCUUUUAAAGAAGCUUCGGCAGAUUUAGCUGGUUUCUAGUGGCGGACGGGUGAGUAACGCGUGGGUAACCUGCCUUGUACAGGGGGAUAACAGUCAGAAAUGACUGCUAAUACCGCAUAAGCGCACAGGACCGCAUGGUCCAGUGUGAAAAACUCCGGUGGUAUAAGAUGGACCCGCGUUGGAUUAGCUGGUUGGUGGGGUAACGGCCUACCAAGGCGACGAUCCAUAGCCGGCCUGAGAGGGUGAACGGCCACAUUGGGACUGAGACACGGCCCAGACUCCUACGGGAGGCAGCAGUGGGGAAUAUUGCACAAUGGGGGAAACCCUGAUGCAGCGACGCCGCGUGAAGGAAGAAGUAUCUCGGUAUGUAAACUUCUAUCAGCAGGGAAGAAUUAGGACGGUAC
rnacentral:rRNA from 1 species